rnacentral:rRNA from 1 species
GAGUUUGAUCCUGGCUCAGGACGAACGCUGGCGGCGCGCCUAACACAUGCAAGUCGAACGAGCGAGAGAGAGCUUGCUUUCUCGAGCGAGUGGCGAACGGGUGAGUAACGCGUGAGGAACCUGCCUCAAAGAGGGGGACAACAGUUGGAAACGACUGCUAAUACCGCAUAAGCCCACAGCUCGGCAUCGAGCAGAGGGAAAAGGAGCAAUCCGCUUUGAGAUGGCCUCGCGUCCGAUUAGCUAGUUGGUGAGGUAACGGCCCACCAAGGCGACGAUCGGUAGCCGGACUGAGAGGUUGAACGGCCACAUUGGGACUGAGACACGGCCCAGACUCCUACGGGAGGCAGCAGUGGGGAAUAUUGCACAAUGGGGGAAACCCUGAUGCAGCGACGCCGCGUGGAGGAAGAAGGUCUUCGGAUUGUAAACUCCUGUUGUUGAGGAAGAUAAUGACGGUACUCAACAAGGAAGUGACGGCUAACUACGUGCCAGCAGCCGCGGUAAAACGUAGGUCACAAGCGUUGUCCGGAAUUACUGGGUGUAAAGGGAGCGCAGGCGGGAAGGCAAGUUGGAAGUGAAAUCCAUGGGCUCAACCCAUGAACUGCUUUCAAAACUGUUUUUCUUGAGUAGUGCAGAGGUAGGCGGAAUUCCCGGUGUAGCGGUGGAAUGCGUAGAUAUCGGGAGGAACACCAGUAGCGAAGGCGGCCUACUGGGCACCAACUGACGCUGAGGCUCGAAAGUGUGGGUAGCAAACAGGAUUAGAUACCCUGGUAGUCCACACUGUAAACGAUGAUUACUAGGUGUUGGAGGAUUGACCCCUUCAGUGCCGCAGUUAACACAAUAAGUAAUCCACCUGGGGAGUACGACCGCAAGGUUGAAACUCAAAGGAAUUGACGGGGGCCCGCACAAGCAGUGGAGUAUGUGGUUUAAUUCGACGCAACGCGAAGAACCUUACCAAGUCUUGACAUCCUGCGACGCACAUAGAAAUAUGUGUUUCCUUCGGGACGCAGAGACAGGUGGUGCAUGGUUGUCGUCAGCUCGUGUCGUGAGAUGUUGGGUUAAGUCCCGCAACGAGCGCAACCCUUAUGGUCAGUUACUACGCAAGAGGACUCUGGCCAGGCUGCCGUUGACAAAACGGAGGAAGGUGGGGAUGACGUCAAAUCAUCAUGCCCUUUAUGACUUGGGCUACACACGUACUACAAUGGCGUUAAACAAAGAGAAGCAAGACCGCGAGGUGGAGCAAAACUCAGAAACAACGUCCCAGUUCGGACUGCAGGCUGCAACUCGCCUGCACGAAGUCGGAAUUGCUAGUAAUCGUGGAUCAGCAUGCCACGGUGAAUACGUUCCCGGGCCUUGUACACACCGCCCGUC